rnacentral:tRNA from 1 species
AGGAAGGUGGCUCAGUGGUAGAGCACUUGCCUUGCAUGCAUGAGGCCCUUGGCUCCAUUCCUC